ensembl:lncRNA
UGUUGAACCAUCCCUGCAUCCCUGGGAUGAAUCCCACUUUGUCAGGGUGUAUGAUCUUCUGAUGAUCUUCUACAUUCUGUUUGCCAGUAUCUUAUUGAGGAAGUUUGCAUCUAUAUUCGUUAGGGAAAUUGGCCUAUAGUUCUCUUUCUCGGUUGGGUCUUUCUCUGCUUUGGGGAUCAAGGUGAUGCUUGCUUCCAGGAAUAAAUUUGAGAGUAUUGCUUCCCUUUCAAUUUCACUGAAGAGUUAAAACAGUCGUGGCAAUAGUUCUUCUCUAAAUGACUUAUAGAAUUCAUCAGUGAAGCCAUCAGGACCUGAGUUUUUCUUUGUUGCAGCACCUGAGACUGCCUAAGGACUUCAUCCGGCUGCAGGAGCGUCCAGGAGUUGCUGGUCCUGGGAGCUGCCUUUGGCCACUGAAGAAUAAGAGUUGGUGGACAGACACUGCCUGGCAGGUGGAACUAUCCCUUGUAACAGUGCUCUCCAGGAAACAGUCAGUACAGAAGAAGAUUUAUUAGGAGGCUUUGGAUCAUAUGAUUGUGGAGGAUGAGAAGUCCUACACACUGUAACCUGCAAGCUGGAAGCCCAGGAAAGCUGGUGGUGAUGUUGCAAUCUGCUGUGGUUUGGAUGUGGUUGGUCUCAAAAGUUUAGGUGAAGGAGAAACCAGAUUCUGUCCUGUUCCAGCUGUUGCUGUUUGAGGUCUAUGGCUUUUGCAGCAGUACCUAACCUUCACAGACACAGACUCAUGACUGUGUCAGAUGGUGGGUAUCAUCCAUCUCCGUACUCUGUACUUUCUCACCUGAAGAAGCAGAACCUCUGGGCGUGAUCCUGUUCAUCACUAAUACACGGAUGGCCUCACAUUCACCCCUAUGUACCUGAUAUGAGACCAAGUCCCUGAGAUGGCCCUAUUAUAGGCUGCACUGUCCACCAUAGGCUCUGCUCACGGAAGCCCUAGACCACUCUAGCAUGCGGUUUUACAUUGUGAAAGAACAGAAUACUAUUUUGUGACACUGGUGAAAAUUAGAUGAAAUCCAAAUGUCAGUGUCCAUAAAUGAAGUUCUAUUGGCCACAGCUGCUCAUUUGUUUGCAUACUCUCUAUGGCUAUUGUGUUCCAGCAGCAGAGCCGAGGAGCUAUAAUGGACCCCAGGGUCUGUAAAGCCUGAAAUAUUUACUCUUUGAUGCUUGAUAGAAAACGUUUGUUGAUUCUUCAUCCAGAUGAAAUCAAAUUCCAAUAAUGUAAUUAUCCAUGCCUGAUGAUUUCCUUCUCCAGUAGCUGCUUUCAUCCAUGCUUCUCAGAAGCUGUCAGGAAUGAAGGGGCCUGACAGCCUCAGGAAUGGAGGAAGGUGCAGGCCAGGCAGGGGCAAUUGUCCUCUGCCCUGUGGGCCCGCAAGUAAGUUCCCUUCACUUGGCCAUGGGGUAUGCUCUGAUUGAAUGGGUUCUUGUCCAUCUACUUAGAGCCCUAUCUGUAUCUACCUCCAUCUCUCUGUAGAUUAUACCCACAUGUAUAUAAAUUAUAUAGGUGUGCAUAAUAUAGAAAACUUUAUGCUAGUGAUAAAUGCUAUAAAAAUAAAGUAUGUGAAAGAGGUAGUGAUGGGAGGCAUUUCUUCAAAAGGGGCAAGGGAAGGUCUCUCAGGUGCCAUGAGCAAAGACCUGUCUGAAGCAGUGAAGUACUGAUGCAUUCCAGGCAGUGCAAAGGCCCUGGGAUGGAACUGUCCUCUGUCCAAGAAAGACAAGAUGGCUUGGGGGCAGAGCCAGGGGGUGGGGGUGGGUGCUAGGUGGGAAGUGAGCCUGAGGAGUAAGGAGCGGCAGAUGGAGAACAAUCACAGGCCAAGGACAGGUGUCUGGAUGAUACCUUAAGUGCAGUUAAGUCUCCAGAGUGACCUGGGGCACGGUAUAAUCUGUUCUACAGAUUUCAAAGAUCUCUGUGGAGACUGAACCAUUGGACCUCCUGUGGGUCCUCAGGCAGGGCUUCCCUGAAGCAAAGAUCUCUGAACAUCAGGUGGUAAGCAGGCUGCCAAAGAGGCUGCAGCCUGGCUGGGGAAGGCAAGGGUCAGGUCAGGCGGAGUGGUGGACUCAGGAUGGUCCUUCAGACUUCCCCUCCUCUAGUCUCCUCUUUACCUCCUCUGUCCCUAUUUUCUCUGGGCACCAUGGCCCCUGCAGUUCACCCUCCUCAGGCCAGCUACCAUGCUGAUGCACCUGUCAAGUGCCUCUUCUGGGCCAAGUUCCUGGCUGAUAGGGAGUAGGUGGCUCAGAGCAGGUAUUUAUCAAAAAAACCAGGAGCUGGUGCUGGAAGGACAGCCGAAGUGGGCUACAUGGGGAUUCAUGAGAACCAUUCCACUGGCAUAGUUCAGUGUUCCAGAUUAUUCCCUUAAGGAUCUGGGUGACACACCUCUUGUCCUCACGGAUGGAGCCUGACACUCAGCACACAGAGCCAUAUCCUAUGGCAGUUCUACACCACCCAAGCCCAAACUCAACACUGUGAGCUCCUCCAAGCCACUUCACUUUGGAGCCCUGCCCUAAUCCCACAGUGCCUGGGACACUGGGGUAGGUGGAAAUGCUCCCUGAAGUAGUGCCCACCACUCCAUGGACUGGAUAGUUAUUACUAUCGAUGAGAAAAUUUAGUCAGAAAGGUGACCUACCUCAAGGUUAAAGGCUGGUCAACGGCGGAGGCAGACUGUGUUAAUUCUGCUAGGUAUAGGCUGUGCUCCUCAUACUUACUGGAUCAAUCAUUGACUGAAUUUACAAUCUAAAACAUCAGUGGGCUAUUCUCCAAUUCACCACUACUUAUACAAGAAAGCAGACAUCUGUAAGCUGUGACCACUUUACACCCACCAGGCUGGCUAAAAAAAGAAUAUAUGGCAAAAGCACUGUUGGUGGGAAUGUACAAUGGUGAAAAUGUGGCCAAAAAACAAAAAAAGUGACCAAAUAACUCAGCAGCCCAGGGAAACUGAAAACACAAAAUUUAUAGACAAAUGUUUGCAUCAAUAUGAUUCCUAAUAGCUAAGAAGUGAACAGUCCAAAUGACCAUCAACUGAUGGACAAAAUGUGAUAUAGUCAUACAGUGGAAUAUUAAGGGAAAAAAAGGAAUGAAAGCUGGGCAUUAUAGCACACACCUGUAAUCUCAGCACUUGGGAGGCUGAGGCAGGAGGAUUGCAGCCUGGGCAAUAUAGUGAGCUCAAGGUCAGCCUGAACUACAUAGCAAGACUGCCUCAAAAACAUAACUAAAUGAAAGAAUCCAGCUAUAAAAGGCUAUAUGUUGAAUUCCAUUUAUAGGCAAAGUCCCAAACUGACCAGCCUAUAGACAUAAAGAUCAAUGGCUGCAGGGGCAGGUGUAUGUGUAAGGUAGUGGGUGGGGAAACUUAGAAGUGUCUGCUAAUGGGCAUGUGUUUCUAAGGUGACAGAAAUGUUCUAUAAUUAGAUCAUGGUAAUGGCUGCACAACUGAUUUGUACAUUUCCAGAGUGAAUUAUCUCAAUAA